UACGUAGGGUGCAAGCGUUAAUCGGAAUUACUGGGCGUAAAGCGUGCGCAGGCGGUUGUGCAAGACAGAUGUGAAAUCCCCGGGCUUAACCUGGGAAUUGCAUUUGUGACUGCACGGCUAGAGUGUGUCAGAGGGGGGUAGGAAUUCCACGUGUGAGCAGUGAAAUGCGUAGAUAUGACGGAGGAACACCGAUGGCGAAGGCAAUCCCCUGGGCCUGCACUGGACGCUGAGACGCGAAAGCGUGGGGAGCAAACAGG
rnacentral:rRNA from 1 species